UAAAGGCGCGAGUCGACAUUGACCGCAGGGUGUCAUCGAAUUCGAGCGCGACAGGUCCAAAGAACCAAAAACUGCAAUUUCACAAUACAAAAUAUCUCAUUUUACCGUACCUGCAUGCUGCAAAUUCAAAAUGUCGUCCAUAUAAUCAAACAUCUCGACAGACAUCUGGAAACUGAAAAGAAUAACAAAUUAUAUUUGUAGGAAAAUAUGAGGGCAUUGAUAGCAAAAUGUAAACAAUUGAUAAAAGAGCGUUUUGCAAAUUAAACUUAAAGGAGACAAUUGAAUAAUAGAGCCACAUCUUUCAAUUAAGCUCAAGUGGAUUUUAAUAAAAUUUCAAUUUAAAGUUUAGACUGAUAUAUAAUGUAAUGUUGAAAAUUGGAAAUUGUUAUAAUAAUGGCUUCCUUCGACAUUUUGGUAAAAUUGACUUUAAAUUGGCCAGGAAAUUGUCAUUAAAAAACAUCCACAAACUUUGAGACAUCCUGUAGAGAUAUAUA